GAUGAAGAACGUAGCGAAAUGCGAUAAGUAAUGUGAAUUGCAGAAUUCAGUGAAUCAUCGAAUCUUUGAACGCACAUUGCGCCCCCUGGUAUUCCGGGGGGCAUGCCUGUCCGAGCGUCAUUACAACCCUCAAGCUCAGCUUGGUAUUGGGCCCCGCCGACCCGGCGGGCCCUAAAGUCAGUGGCGGUGCCGUCCGGCUCCGAGCGUAGUAAUUCUUCUCGCUCUGGAGGUCCGGUCGUGUGCUCGCCAGCAACCCCCAAUUUUUUUCAGGUUGACCUCGAAUCAGGUAGGGAUACCCGCUGAACUUAAGCAUAUCAAUAAGCGGAGGA
rnacentral:misc_RNA from 1 species